rnacentral:rRNA from 1 species
CGUAGGGUGCGAGCGUUAAUCGGAAUUACUGGGCGUAAAGCGUGCGCAGGCGGUUUGGUAAGACAGGCGUGAAAUCCCCGGGCUUAACCUGGGAACUGCGUUUGUGACUGCCAGGCUAGAGUACGGCAGAGGGGGGUGGAAUUCCACGUGUAGCAGUGAAAUGCGUAGAGAUGUGGAGGAACACCAAUGGCGAAGGCAGCCCCCUGGGUCGAUACUGACGCUCAUGCACGAAAGCGUGGGUAGCAAACAGGAUUAGAUACCCUGGUAGUCCACGCCCUAAACGAUGUCAACUAGGUGUUGGGUGGGUAAAACCAUUUAGUACCGGAGCUAACGCGUGAAGUCGACCGCCUGGGGAGUACGGCCGCAAGGUUA